rnacentral:rRNA from 1 species
CCCCCGRAACUAMRCGAGCUACUUCAAGGCAGCUUAAUGAGCAAACCCGUCUCUGUUGCAAAAGAGUGGGAAGACCUUCAAGUAGCGGUGACAGACCUAACGAGCUUAGUGAUAGCUGGUUACUCAAAAAAAGGAUUUAAGUCCAGCCUGAAGCUAAAAAAUUACUUCAAAAUAACCACCUAACUUCAGAGUAAUUCAAAUAAGGUACAGCCUAUUUGAAACAGGAUACAACCUCAACUACUGGGUUCACUAAAUCAACUUAACAUAACCAAGUGGGCCUAAGAGCAGCCACCUUACAAACAGCGUCAAAGCUUAAUUAUGUUUUUAUCUAAUACCUACAUUACCUUUUAACCCUUUAAUAGUAUUGAGUAAUUCUAUAAACUUAUAGAAUAUUUUAUGUUAAUACUAGUAACAAGAAGAAGACCUUCUCUUAAAUGCAAGCAUAAAUCAGAAUGGACAACCCACUGAUAAUUAAC